UCAAAUUGGCAACUAUGUCGGAGUGUCCGUACAUCAUUGGUUCUAAUAAAAAUUUCUAUAUAAAAAAUUUAUGCGUCUCGCUCGAAAAGCUGAAGGAAGUUUGAAGUUUAUCUCUUAAAUAUUAUUACUAGAGUUUCUCCACCGUGCUGUGUCCCGCUUAAAAUAUCUAUACUGUCGUCCAAAUGACGAAAAGUUAGCAGAAUUGAACGUUAGAUUUUACGUUUUACAUUAUUAGACGGAGUUUUUUUACCCACAUCGCAAGCAGGAAAAGUGAAACAGGAGUAACAGCGUGUGUGUUUUUGUGGAACGUCCAGAAAAUAACAAGGGGCAGCGGGAAAGGAUACAAUAGAUGUUCAGUAAAAUGAACGGCUACCCAUCAUCAGCAUUUAGGUCGAGUGGUGGUCGGCUUUGGGGAAUGUCACAUUCUCUUCCAUCGGGAAUGUCGAAUUAUACAUACGGACAGGACUCAGAUUUCUCUUAUUCCUCCCGACCGCGAUUGUACGAACUGCCUUCAAGUAGCACAUUUGGAAAUGCGCCACACACAUCAUCCUCAAGUACAAGUUCUUUAUCCGGGAUAAAUUUUGGACCUGGUAGUAGCAACUAUUCCGGAACGAAUCUCAUAGUAAACUAUCUACCACAGGAUAUGAUUGAACGUGAGCUUUACUCGAUGUUUUCAACCAUGGGUCCAAUCGAAAGCUGUCGUGUUAUGAGAGAUUUGAAGACUGGUUACAGUUAUGGAUUCGGUUUCAUCAACUUUUUAACCGAGGAGGCAGCUCAAAGGGCUAUUAGAUGCUUAAAUGGGUACACAAUUCGCAACAAACGUAUAAAGGUUUCAUAUGCUAGACCACAAAGCGAAGAAAUCAAAGAAACAAAUCUCUAUAUCACCAAUCUUCCACGAACCGUAACCGAUGAGCAAUUGGACAUUAUUUUUGGUAAGUAUGGUACGAUAGUGCAGAAAAACAUCCUUCGAGACAAACUUACGGGGUACCCGAGAGGAGUUGCAUUCGUUAGGUUUAACAAACGGGAAGAAGCACAGGAAGCAAUAUCGGCUUUGAAUAAUGUAAUACCACAAGGCGGAACUCAACCACUGAAUGUACGGGUAGCUGAGGACCAUGGACGAGCAAAGGCUGCUCUCUAUGUUCCAUCUUAUAAUUCAAUAGUGCACAGCAAUCGAGGUAGAGUGCGAAUGAGAAAUAAUCCUUAUUGAAUUGAUAGAAAAAGUAGAUCUUUUCGCUGUUCAGUUAUGCACUUUUAAUACAGAUGAGAAGAAAAAAUAUAUACGAUUCCUCCACGACAAAGCAUAAUGGAUUAUAACGACAGAUCAAGUGGAUUCUUAAAAUCGCAUCACUCGCUGAUUUUUUACUAGUUUUACACUUCCAGCAACGACGAAUCCGAAACGAUGAAUGUGCCCUUUGGUAUAGUAGAUAAAUAAUAACGAAUGGACAUCAACAAAAACUACUAUUGUGUGCUUUAAAAAUGGAAAAGAUAGAAAUUGCAAUCUAUAAAAGUGAAUCAUGUACACCCAUUUUGAAUUAACAAUAGACUAUACAGGCAAUUUCACCUUGAAGUUAAAAGGAUUUCUUUAUUACCAAACGAUUACAUUUUCCAGCCUGCAAAAUAAUAUCUGUAAGCUUUCUCUUGUAAGUAGUCUGUAAUAGUUCUCACAAUGCAAUAAUGUAUACAAAUAAGCUAUCAUCUUUGAAUCGGUUAUUAUGCCUUACGCAAUUAUUCGUGUGCAGCAAGAUAAGACAUUUUUAUUUGAAAGAAGCACAGAUCACUUCUUUUAAUUGAUGUUGUAGUUAUUGAAUGAAAAGGACAGUCUAUUUUUGUACUGCAUGUCUAUGUCCAAAUAUCUCAUGUAAUUAUAAAUUCAUAUAUUUACUCCACGACGAAAGUGAAAAUGACUGUAUUAUUAAUUGUGUUGUAAUUUUGAACAUUAAAACAUGAAUUAUUAUACCUCGCAAUUUUCUCUUCUCAGAUUCUGAUAAAAUACAAGAUAACAAACAAAACAAAAGGAGUAUAGUUGAUAUAACAAAAACCUAGCGUCUACACAUUCGGGUAGGAUGAAGUUUGCAUCUUCAUCAACGUCUUAGAUCCUUACGAAAAUAAAAGAAACUGGCUAAUUCUUAGAGCCUUUAUA